AUCCAGUUCUCUUUAGUGUUUGCCAAUGUUGGAGGUGUAACUGGGGUCUGGCCCUGGAAAAAGGAAUAGAGCAUGGCUCAAGUGAAAAUACAGACCUCAGCACCCCUGGCUGGUCCUGGCCUCUCUGGAGUUUCUCCAGUGGCCAUGUCCAGCCCAGGAUCCAUGAGUCUGCAGCCAUCCGUCAAUGGCACAGGCCCGGCCCCUGCACCCUGCUGCCCUGCUCCUUCAGUCGGAUAUGGGGACGCCCCUGUAUCUUCAUCACCACCAGGCCCGCCCCAGGAGAACAUGGCAAACCCUAAAGAGAAAACUCCGAUGUGUUUGGUGAAUGAGUUAGCCCGUUUUAAUAGGAUCCAACCACAGUACAAGCUCCUCAGUGAGAGAGGCCCUGCACAUGCUAAGAUCUUCACAGUGCAGCUGACUCUAGGGGAGCAGGUGUGGGGCAGAAGGCACCAGUAUUAAGAAGGCACAACACUCCACAGCUUCCAAAGCACUGGCUGAGAGUGUCCUUCCCAGGCCAGCACCCCGCUCCCCCAAAGUGGACAUCAACAGCAACCCAGGCAGCAUAACACCUACAGUGGAGCUGAAUGGUCUUGCCAUGAAGAGGGGGGAGCCAGCUAUCUACAGACCUUUGGAUCCAAAGCCCAUGCCCAACUACAGAGCC